rnacentral:rRNA from 1 species
GUGAGGAAUAUUGCGCAAUGGGGGAAACCCUGACGCAGCGAUGCCGCGUGGGUGAAGAAGGCCUUCGGGUCGUAAAGCCCUGUCGGGUGGGAAGAACAGUCUGGGAGUUAAUACCUCUCAGGUUUGACGGUACCACCGAAGGAAGCACCGGCUAACUCCGUGCCAGCAGCCGCGGUAAGACGGAGGGUGCGAGCGUUAUUCGGAAUCAUUGGGCGUAAAGGGUGUGCAGGCGGCUGGUCAAGUCAGAUGUGAAAGCCCAGGGCUUAACCCUGGAAGUGCAUUUGAAACUGGUCGGCUUGAGUUCGGGAGAGGGAAGCGGAAUUCCGGGUGUAGAGGUGAAAUUCGUAGAUAUCCGGAGGAACACCGGUGGCGAAGGCGGCUUCCUGGACCGAAACUGACGCUGAGACACGAAAGCGUGGGGAGCAAACAGGAUUAGAUACCCCGGUAGUCC